rnacentral:rRNA from 1 species
UACAGAGGGGGCAAGCGUUGUUCGGAAUUACUGGGCGUAAAGGGCGCGUAGGCGGCCCGCUAAGUCGAACGUGAAAUCCCCGAGCUCAACUCGGGAACUGCGUCCGAUACUGGUGGGCUUGAAUCCGGGAGAGGGAUGCGGAAUUCCAGGUGUAGCGGUGAAAUGCGUAGAUAUCUGGAGGAACACCGGUGGCGAAGGCGGCAUCCUGGACCGGCAUUGACGCUGAGACGCGAAAGCGUGGGGAGCAAACAGG